GUCUUUGUGGUGUAGUGGUUAACACGCCUGACCUCAAAUCAGGAGGUCUCGGGUUCGAUUCCCGACGAGAACA